rnacentral:lncRNA from 10 species
UCCUUCCUAAGGUUUUGUAUGGAUUGAAUGACUUAAUUCAUUUAAAGCACUUAGCACAGUGCUUGACAGAAAGUCAGUGCUCAAUAAAGGUUGUUUUUUGUUUUGUUUUGUUCUGGUUUUUUGAGAUGGAGUCUCGCUCUGUCACCAUUUCUAAUACUAAAACACCCACAAAAGACCAAAGGCACAGGGUGUCUAAUAGUCUGGCCUGAUCCACACAGAGAGCUGGGACGAUAAAUAGAUGCUUGCUCAGACCCAGCGUGGUGGCUGCCAGGGGUGUGGUUUUGAGCAGGAUUCUGGGGGCGUAUCCAGAUCCAAGGAAGAAGAGCACAAGGCUGGAAGGUGUCAGCACACAGGCCAUUCAUUUGCCUACCCCGAUGUGAGGGACAGACACACUGUACAUCCUUCUGGAAGUCUUCCAUAUAUACUACUCCUCAACUUGACCUUUUCUUAUGAAUUACGCAGCAGAAAGCUGGAGCACAACUCAACACAGGCAGAGAUGCUACCUGAAUAUAGAGUCGGUGUCACACCAACUGAGGAACAGCACAUUUUAAAAUACCCAGGCUCAAGACUAUCCUGCAGAACUUGGUUAAAACUGAUGAUCUGGGGUCUCUGAGACACUCUGAGGCAUGUCAGUGCUGUAGUCACAAACCUCACUCAGUAAAUUCCUCAGGGGGCUCACCAGGGCCCCUGUGCACGCACUUGGUGGAUUGCAGAGAUGAGACACACAUAACACAUCAGUGGCUCCCAAACCUACCAUACAAGAGAAUCACUGGGGAGCCUCUUCUCACACAGAGUCCCUGUCUCUUACUCCCCUCACUGCCCUGGGCCUUCUAAAUCACAAUCUCCAGAAAAGGAACUCAGGAAUCUGCACUUAGACAAGCAUCCUGGUGAUUCUGAUGUGUGGCCAGGUUUGGGUACUGAGGAAGCCAGUCAGCAUUAACAUGGUGUGAUGGAUGCUACCACAGAGGCCUUUCUGCUGCGGAGGGACCAGAGAACAGGGAGAUAUCAUGGCAGGCUUCACAGAAGCCAGAUCUCUAGAUGCCAUCCUUGCUGUCUCUCUUAACCCCUCCCCAAGGGCCAGUCGUCAACUCCUGCUGAUCUACUCCCUGAAUAUAUCACAAAUUCAUCUGGGUGCCCUCCCUCCGCUGUCUCCAUUCUGGUCUAGGCCACCAUCACCUCUCACUCAGACUGCAGCAAACUCUACCUAACCAGCCUUUUUGACUCUAGCUUACCCUAGAGUAUCUAAUCUAUUCUCACACUUCAAGGAAAGUAAUUUUUCCAAAACGUAACUCUCAUCCUGUCACUCAUUCUGCCUAGAACCUUCCAUGACUCCCUAGCACCUUCCAUGACUCCCUAGCACCCUAGGAUAGCUAGCGUUUCUCAGCUCCCACACUCCCCCAACUCCCUGGCAUCUGCCUUCUCUCCAGGGAGGACUAGUACAUCAUUCUACUCAUACAUUCUACGCAUACCUCAUUCUACCAGUCCUACCAGCUCGUGCACCCAAGCCUUUGCAUGGGCCUCCCAUCAUGCCUUCCCACAGCCCACUUGUAAUGUCCUGGCUAAUUCUCAGGUAUCCGCAGGUCUCCACGUGGAUAUAAACAUCUUUUCUACCAGAAACCUUCCCCCACGUCUCCAAAAUGGGUCACCUGCCCCACAGCUACUCAAACCUUUCCGGUCAAGCUCGUUCCUUUGCCUGGCCUGCCCACCAAUGCCCUGGGUGGGGACUCUGCCUGGGUCUCGCAGCACCCUCAACGCCAAGCCAGGAAGGGAAGGCAGGUUCUGAGGAAACUCUUACUGCAAUAAGAAAUGAAUUAAAUCUCUAAGGUUCUAAGUCUCUACAAUUCUAUUCGCUGUCUCCAGAUUCUAUUCUGAAAGGCCAAAAUUUCUAAGAAUCUGAUUUUAUGUUAAUUCAAAAGUGUUUCCACGUCUAUGCUCAAAGUUUACAAAAGACUACUCAAAGUUUACCAUUCCAACUCUAAGGAGUCCUUAACUCUUCACCUCCCGGGGCAUCCGGCCGCCGGGGACCGCGUCUCGGGCCAGCGCCGGGCACCACUCUGGUCCCGGGCCCCCGGGCCCCGCCGCCUCACCUGGCCGCCUGCAUGA